AUGAAUCCAGAUAUACAAGCAAAACUUGAUUCCACCAAGAUUCAGGUCCUGCCUCCUUCUACUGAACAAGAUGGGAAAGUAUCAUACAUGUGCCUCAUUGAGGAUUUUUACCCAAAUGUUAUUAAGGUGACUUGGGAAGAUGAGAAGAAGAAUGCAGAGAAAAAUGCAGUGCACAAGGAAAUUUGGCCCCCUGAUGACAAUCAACAAUCAUACUCAAUGAGCAGCUGGCUGACCAUAGAUAAAAAUAGCAACAAGAAUUAUCACUGCAACUAUCAACAUGAAAAAGAUACUGGUUCUGUCCCUAUCGAAUCUCAAGGACUUGCUCACUGUGAUACUUCUAGGGGCUAUAGCUUCAAAGUAUUUGGCUCUGGUACCAAGCUCAUUGUAACAGAUAUACAAGCAAAACUUGAUUCCACCAAGGCUCAGGCCCUGCCUCCUUCUACUGAACAAGAUGGGAAAGUAUCAUACAUGUGCCUCAUUGAGGAUUUUUACCCAAAUGUUAUUAAGGUGACUUGGGAAGACGACAAGAAGAAUGCAGAGAAAAAUGCAGUGCUCGAGGAAAUUUGGGCCUCUGAUGCCGAUCAACAAUCAUACUCAAUAAGCAGCUGGCUGACUGUAGAUAAAAAUAGCAACAAGAAUUAUCGCUGCAAAUAUCAACAUGAAAGCAAAGAGGGUUUUGUCCCCACCAAAUCUCCAGACACCGUUUCAGACACCACUGUAGCACCUCAAACCACGGGAGGUUGUAUCAAGAAUGCUGAGAAUGGCACCACGCUUUCCACAGAUAUUACAGACAGUUUCAUGCACAGGACGGCGUAUUUAAUAUACAUUGUCCUUCUCCUGAAAAGCACCAUGUACUACGUCAUCGUACUCUUCUUCAUGUACAGAAUGAAAAGUCCAAUCAAGCACCGGGGAAAGAAACCUUAAACUUCUCCGUACACCUUCCAGUGUCAGCAUUUCUGUCUCAAAUUUACUUUGCUUUGCCAUAAGCCUGUUCAUAUGAAACACCUUGCUCUAAAUAUUAAGACAUGCAUUGCAUUUGAUUUUGUUGGCUAUUUCUCCAAAUAGCACAGAUGGCUUCUUCUGCUUGAGAGCGAACAGUUUUAUAUGUGACCAUAUUUCCUAUUAUAUUAUUUUAAUUUUGUAACUGUGGAACUUCAAGGGCUGAGGCUACACUUCUUGAUUUUCAAUGGAAAUUUUGCAUCAUAAAGUAGUGCAGAAUCAGUCUCUUAGGCUCUUAUCCUGCAAAUACACUUGUGCACACAAAGAAAUUUUUGGAUGUGGAUAGGCCAACGGCAUUCAGUGACGUCAAUGGGAAAACUCGUCCCAUAAAUAUUUGCAGGGGUGGAGUACUCAUCUGUAAUUUAAAAUGAUUUGUCAUUUCAUUUCUACUAAUUACAUUUAUUUGCUUUAUAAAACAAAAACAGGCUUCUGAAAUAUGGCUAA